AUAUUCGGAACAUCUUCUUCAGAAGAUGCGGAAUAACGUGACAUAUUGUAUUCAGUUUUGAAUGUUUAUUUAACAUUCAAAUAUUUUUUGGUUAAAGUGAUAUUCCUUUUGAAAAUAAAGCAGUAUGCGAGCGCUUGACUAAAAAGAAAUUGUACAUUGAAAACUAGAUAAGUAAGUAAAAUAUAGAUUUUACCAAGCAAAACCGAGUGAAUAAAGAGUUUUAAAUAAGCUUGAAUUCAUAAGAAAUAAUCGCUAGUGUUCGAAAGAACACUCACAAGAUUAAUAACGCGUUUAAAUCUUUUUAUAAAAGAACGUAACUUCAUGUUAACGUUUGACUUAUAAAAAUGGUGGAAACAUAGAUUAAGUUAUUAAGGGCNGGAGCAUGUGGUUUAAUUCGAAGCAACGCGAAGAACCUUACCAAAUCUUGACAUCCUUUGACAACUCUAGAGAUAGAGCCUUCCCCUUCGGGGGACAAAGUGACAGGUGGUGCAUGGUUGUCGUCAGCUCGUGUCGUGAGAUGUUGGGUUAAGUCCCGCAACGAGCGCAACCCUUAAGCUUAGUUGCCAUCAUUAAGUUGGGCACUCUAAGUUGACUGCCGGUGACAAACCGGAGGAAGGUGGGGAUGACGUCAAAUCAUCAUGCCCCUUAUGAUUUGGGCUACACACGUGCUACAAUGGACAAUACAAAGGGCAGCGAAACCGCGAGGUCAAGCAAAUCCCAUAAAGUUGUUCUCAGUUCGGAUUGUAGUCUGCAACUCGACUACAUGAAGCUGGAAUCGCUAGUAAUCGUAGAUCAGCAUGCUACGGUGAAUACGUUCCCGGGUCUUGUACACACCGCCCGUCACACCACGAGAGUUUGUAACACCCGAAGCCGGUGGAGUAACCUUUUAGGAGCUAGCCGUCGAAGGUGGGACAAAUGAUUGGGGUGAAGUCGUAACAAGGUAGCCGUAUCGGAAGGUGCGGCUG
rnacentral:rRNA from 1 species